UAGUCCACGCCGUAAACGAUGAUUACUCGCUGUUGGCGAUACACAGUCAGUGGCUGAGCGAAAGCAUUAAGUAAUCCACCUGGGGAGUACGUUGGCAACAAUGAAACUCAAAGGAAUUGACGGGGGCCCGCACAAGCGGUGGAACAUGUGGUUUAAUUCGAUGAUACGCGAGGAACCUUACCUGGGCUUAAAUGUAUCUUGCAUAAACUGGAAACGGUUUUUCUCUUCGGAGCUAUUUACAAGGUGCUGCAUGGUUGUCGUCAGCUCGUGCCGUGAGGUGUCGGGUUAAGUCCCAUAACGAGCGCAACCCCUAUCGUUAGUUACCAUCAGGUCAUGCUGGGGACUCUAACGAGACUGCCGGUGUAAACCGCGAGGAAGGUGGGGAUGACGUCAAAUCAGCACGGCCCUUAUGUCCAGGGCUACACACGUGUUACAAUGGUCGGUACAAAGGGCAGCUACCUGGUGACAGGAUGCUAAUCUCUAAAGCCGGUCUCAGUUCGGAUAGGAGUCUGCAAC
rnacentral:rRNA from 1 species